rnacentral:lncRNA from 1 species
CUUUUUAGAUUAUCUAAAGAAAACGAGUUACAAAUAUAAAGUAGAAUAAAUACUCUCACGAUCACUUUUAAAAGAGAUAAGUAAUAUUUUCAUAUAUUUUUAACAAAGGAAGUUAUUGUGAACCUACUGUGAAUAACCAAUAAUAUUCUCAAAUUUCUCAAUGAACUGAUUGAAACAUGUUUGAAGAGGAAAGUAGUAGUGAUGUUAACGAAACAUUGAUUGAAGAAGUAUUAACAAACAUUUGGAAAAUUACAUUGAAAAUAAAGAGAGAAUUAGAAACAAUAAAUGACCUUGUAAAAGAAAAUGGAGAUUUCUGUUCAGCAGUCAUACAUACAAACCAGAGCUUAAUGAAAAUACUUGAAGAAAAAGGUAUAGAUUUAUCUGCAAUUGAAGAAGAAAAA